rnacentral:RNase_P_RNA from 1 species
AUUUUCGGAUAAUCGCAUGGUUGCAAGUCUUCCAUGAGGAAAGUCCAUGCUAGCACUGGCUGUGAUGCCAGUAGUGUUUGUGCUAGGCGAAUCAAUAAGCCUAGGGACUUGAUUUUCAAGUUACGGCGAGCGAACUGGCUAAGUCUUCGGAUAGGUUUUAGUAGCUCUGAAAGU